UUUUUAGCUUGUUGUCUUUGUUUAAGUGUCCCAAAAGAGAAAAUAUCAAAUAAAUCAAAUAAAAAAUGCCGGAGAACCAAGCACCAAGCACAUCAAAGCCAAAUCCAAACCCAAAUCCAAAGCCAAAUCCAAAGCCUGUAAGCAAAGUGAGCAAACCGACCAAGGAUGCAAAAACCGGUACACCGGCUCUGGAUGUACGUAAUCCACUGCCGAAUACUCACGAUAGGAUCUGGAAGAUCAUGAAAAUGUAGCAAAACCAAACAAAAAUACACAUAAUUGGUUUAAACAGAUCAAGCUUAAACAACGCAAAAACAGAACUAAAUCUAAAAGAAAAAGAUUUUUACCAACAGCAAACUAAAUCAAGACAAAUUUUUAAUUUCCUUAGACUUCAACUCAACACAAACUUGCAAACACAAUUAAAUAUGAAUAGCCGCUAGAAAUUUGGGACUUUUUUUUGGGCUGAAUAAAGAGCAAAAGUACCAAAGCACUCUUAUAUUACCCACAACCGCACUGGAAGGCGCUCAGAGCGCAUGUGUGGUAAAUAAAGAGUGUCCCGCACUCUUGGGAUAUCCUCCCUUAGCAGCGCUUAGUGCAAAAGUAUUUAACUAAAGACAGGGGAAUAAAAAAAAAGCAGCUGCGAGAAGUUUAAAUAAGAUUAACAUAAUCAGGUAAAAGUUGAAUUAAGCUGUAGAGUGCACAUAAUGAGGGAGUUAAACUUAUUUUAAGCAUGUAAGUUUGCUGUGAGAGCUCUAAGCACUUGUUGUAUUUGUAGUACUACUACUCAUUCUAUGGCUCUAUUCAAGCUGUGUAAAACAAAAAUAUUCAGGCACUUGAACUAGUUAUUUGUAUUUGCAUUUGCAUUGACUCAAGUGUUGUAAGAAUCCUCGGCGAUACUCAGAAAACAAAUGGCAAAUGGCAAACGGCAAACGGCAAAAGGAAUAAAGCCUAACAGCGAGCAGUGAGCGGCGAGCAGAGUUAAAAUAAAAGUGCUUGGGAUAGGCCCACUUUUGGCUGGCCUCAAGCAUCAUCAAGCCAAUGCAAUUUAAACCAAAACAAACUCAAAAUGCCGAGCCACAAGCCACAAUUCCUCGCCCCACAUUACACACACACACACACACACACA